rnacentral:rRNA from 1 species
CCUACGGGAGGCAGCAGUGAGGAAUAUUGGUCAAUGGACGAGAGUCUGAACCAGCCAAGUAGCGUGAAGGAUGACUGCCCUAUGGGUUGUAAACUUCUUUUAUAAAGGAAUAAAACGAGGCACGUGUGCCUUUUUGCAUGUACUUUAUGAAUAAGGAUCGGCUAACUACGUGCCAGCAGCCGCGGUAAUACGGAGGGUCCGAGCGUUAUCCGGUUUUGUUGGGUUGAAAGGGAGCGUAGAUGGGUUGUUAAGUCAGUGGUGAAAGGUUGCGGCGCAACCGUAAAAUGGCAAUUGAUACUGGCAGGCUUGAGUACAGGUGAGGGAGGCGGAACUCGUGGUGUAGCGGUGAAAGACUUAGAUAUAACGAAGAACCCCGAUUGCGAAGGCAGCUUACUAAACUGUGACUGACGUUGAUGCUCGAAAGUGUGGGUAUCAAACAGGAUUAGAUACCCUUGUAGUC